UACGUAGGAGACAAACGUUAUCCGGAGUUACUGGGCGUAAAGGGCGUGUAGGCGGUUAGUUAAGUCUGGCGUGAAAGCUCUCGGCUAAACCGGGAGAGGUCGUUGGAUACUGGCUGACUAGAGGACGGUAGAGGCGUGUGGAAUUCCGGGUGUAGUGGUGAAAUGCGUAGAGAUCCGGAGGAACACCAGUGGCGAAGGCGGCAUCCUGGACCGACAUUGACGCUGAGGAGCGAAAGCCAGGGGGAGCAAAACGGGG
rnacentral:rRNA from 1 species